GAUUAUCGGAGGAUACUGACCUGAAUUCAUAAUC
rfam:Flavobacterium terrae strain DSM 18829 genome assembly, contig: Ga0131135_104